GCAGAACACACCGCACUCACAGACACUCACAUUAGUGAAACCGUUGCACUCUUGGAAAUCCAAAUCCUUAAAAUUGACUCCUAAACAAAACCAAUCCUAAAACGAACUAUCCAUAUCCAUCGAAACUCAGCGUAAUUCAGAAGCAGUCACAUUCAAAUUCCUAUCAAGGUAACAAUAUGUUCAAUUCAGCUUGGCUAUUCAAUUUCAAUUUUCCUUGCCUGUAUAGGGUGAAUUACCUAACAGUAUCAACUGGCAUAAUAGUGAAGAGAACUAACCUGGAACGGUUAUUUCGGUCGCCGGUGUUUCUGAAACUGAACUUGCAGGUGAAAACUGGUUGUGAGAUGUUGCCCUGGAUCUGGAAA
rnacentral:lncRNA from 1 species